rnacentral:rRNA from 1 species
GACGAACGCUGGCGGCGUGCUUAACACAUGCAAGUCGAGCGGAAAGGCUCCCUUCGGGGAGUACUCGAGCGGCGAACGGGUGAGUAACACGUGGGUAAUCUGCCCAGGACACAGGAAUAACCAGUGGAAACGCUGGCUAAUGCCUGAUGACGUGCCGCCCCCUCGGGGGUUGCACCAAAGGUAGCUUCGGCCUCCGGUCCUGGAUGAGCCCGCGGCCCAUUAGCUUGUUGGCGGGGUAACGGCCCACCAAGGCGACGAUGGGUAGCUGGUCUGAGAGGACGAUCAGCCACACUGGGACUGAGACACGGCCCAGACUCCUACGGGAGGCAGCAGUGGGGAAUCUUGCGCAAUGGGCGAAAGCCUGACGCAGCAACGCCGCGUGCGGGAAGAAGGUCUUCGGGUUGUAAACCGCUUUCAGUAGGGACGAAGGCGACCAGGUUAAUAGCCUGGGAGUUGACGGUACCUACAGAAGAAGGUCCGGCUAACUACGUGCCAGCAGCCGCCGUAAGAC